AGAGAGAAGUAAAGAAAGAAGCAGUCCUGGUUUUCCCUUGACAUUUUAACCCAGUUCAUUCCCUAAACUGCCGGGCCUCUCUUACUGCCUCAACGAGCUGCAACACUCUGACAGUCUAAUCAAUACAGUUCAUAUAUGCUAUCGAAAGAAAUGAUCACUUGGUUGUGUUUAUGACGGUCAUGAGUAACAUUAGAAUACAGAAUGUAUUUAAUUUCAAAGAACUCAUUGUCAUUAGUUUAUGUUACUGUAGGUCAUCUGUUGCAGCGUGGUCACUUGUGGAGGGCAUGAAACAGCGUUUAUUCUUGUUAAACAUUUUUAUUUUGAAAUAGUUGUUCAUCUUUUAAUUUUGAGAGUUAAUUCACAAUGGUAAGUGUGUUGGACACCUCCGAAUGUGCUCUUUCUGAUACUGUAUAGAAAUCAACACGUCUUACCUGCGUGUGACUCUAGCAGGGUUUGAAAAAGUCACUUUUUGGCGCUCAGUGUAACAAAAUGGCGCGUCCUCCUGAAACGGCUUCUAACACUAAUGAAAUAGACUUAUUUAGGAUGAGUCUAGGAACUAGUGGAGCAGGACUUUAAAAGGAGAUUAACAUGUUUUAUUGAUAUGCAGCCAAAAUGACUUCCUCAGGGCUUCCAGUGUUAAACUAUAUAAACCAAUUAUUGAGACCUUUUUGGGAGAAAUGUAUUUUCAACCAAAUUCACACAGUAAGCAGUUGUUUUUCAUGAGAAUGAACAAAUUAAUUUGUACAGAUGUUGUUAAAUGAGGUCUGCUGUGUCCCGUGGUGCUAGGUUUAUGUUGUUAAAUGAGGUCCGCUGUGUCCCGUGACGCUAUAGGUUUAUGUUGUUAAAUGAGGUCCGCUGUGUCCCGUGGUGCGAGGUUUGUUGUUAAAUGAGGUCCGCUGUGUCCCGUGGUGCUAGGUUUAUGUUGUUAAAUGAGGUCCGCUGUGUCCCGUGGUGCUAGGUUUAUGUUGUUAAAUGAGGUCCGCUGUGUCCCAUGGUGCUAGGUUUAUGUUGUUAAAUGAGGUCCGCUGUGUCCCGUGGUGCUAUAGGUUUAUGUUGUUAAAUGAGGUCCGCUGUGUCCCGUGGUGCUAGGUUUAUGUUGUUAAAUGAGGUCCGCUGUGUCCGGUGGUGCUAUAGGUUUAUGUUGUUAAAUGAGGUCCGCUGUGUCCCGUGGUGCUAUAGGUUUUUGUUGUUAAAUGAGGUCCGCUGUGUCCCGUGGUGCUAUAGGUUUAUGUUGUUAAAUGAGGUCCGCUGUGUCCCGUGGUGCUAGGUUUGUUGUUAAAUGAGGUCCGCUGUGUCCCGUGGUGCGAGGUUUGUGUUGUUAAAUGAGGUCCGCUGUGUCCCUUGGUGCUAUAGGUUUAUGUUGUUAAAUGAGGUCCGCUGUGUCCCGUGGUGCUAGGUUUAUGUUGUUAAAUGAGGUCCGCUGUGUCCCGUGGUGCUAGGUUUAUGUUGUAAAUGAGGUCUGCUGUGUCCCGUGGUGCUAUAGGUUUAUGUUGUUAAAUGAGGUCCGCUGUGUCCCGUGGUGCUAUAGGUUUAUGUUGUUAAAUGAGGUCUGCUGUGUCCCGUGGUGCUAUAGGUUUAUGUUGUUAAAUGAGGUCCGCUGUGUCCCGUGGUGCUAUAGGUUUAUGUUGUUAAAUGAGGUCCGCUGUGUCCCGUGGUGCUAUAGGUUUAUGUUGUUAAAUGAGGUCCGCUGUGUCCCGUGGUGCUAUAGGUUUAUGUUGUUAAAUGAGGUCCGCUGUGUCCCGUGGU